UACGUAGGGGGCUAGCGUUGUCCGGAAUCAUUGGGCGUAAAGCGCGUGUAGGCGGUCCGGUAAGUCCGCUGUGAAAGUCGGGGGCUCAACCCUCGGAUGCCGGUGGAUACUGUCGGGCUUGAGUACGGAAGAGGCGAGUGGAAUUCCUGGUGUAGCGGUGAAAUGCGCAGAUAUCAGGAGGAACACCAAUGGCGAAGGCAGGUCUCUGGGCCACAACUGACGCUGGAGGAGCGAAAGCGUGGGGAGCGAACAGG
rnacentral:rRNA from 1 species